ensembl:lncRNA
AAAAACCUAGAAGCUUUCUACUCUGACAUUUCCGAACGUCAAGCCAAGUUAAAGAUGUUUCUGAUUUGGAUGAACGAGAGAGCGAGAUAAAGUGAGACACACACACACACAGUAUCUAGAAGGUGGAGUGUGUUUUGACCAAUGAGCUACAGAAACACGCACAAACGCACAGUUUCCUUCUCGUAGUCAGGUCCGUUAGUCGGUUUUAGACUGAAACCCGGUGUAAAUUGCUCUGUGAGCUCCGUUUAGUGCUCGUGUUGCGGCAGCACUAUGGUCUCGAGUGUUCUGUGGAUCUCGGUUGCGACGCUGGCGUUUCUGCGCCUCGCGGAGACAGGUUCUGAGUAUGCGUUGCUGCAUGAAGGAGAAAAAUGUGGAGAAUACGACCAGGGCAGGUGCGAAUCCGGUCUCAUCUGCGUGCCUGACAAUCCCGAGCCCGAGUUAUUCAACGCAGUAGGAGUGUGCACCAGGGUUCCGGGUUGUAACUGCCUCCGAGUUCCAGUGUUUGCCGAGGCAAGGCUGUCGAGGUCGUCAGGUGAUCGAUCCGUGCGGGUGUUGUACACACUGCGCCAAGACAAAGGGGCAGGUGUGCGGCGGGCCGAGCUGGAGAUACGGUAACUGUGAUCCGGAUUUGGUUUGCGCUCUUGUCGUGGGGCUCGAUUCGGCCAGACCUCCACAGACGGGCGUGUGCAAAGCUUUCUUGAUGUAUGACUUUUAUGCCAACGACAUGGAAACGCCUCCCAAACCCGAGGUACCUGCAUAUGAGUGUAAGGAGUGGAGCUGUGAGGUUCAGGCCUGCGAGUGUGUGUGUCAAUAUAGAAAAUGUGUCUACAGGUUAGCUCCACUUAACGAGGCCGCCUGCUGCGACGUACUGAAGGAAUCUGGGUGCCUUAAUACGUCGUGUCCUGGGACUCCCACUCUGGCUUGUCCGGCAGACUCCUUCAUUAGUGAGCCCCACACCGAACCCGGUCACUGCUGCCCUGUUGUGCCUGCUAUGUGCACCUGCGACUUCCAGACCUGCACUCCAAAACCCACAUACUGCCCUAACCGCGGACUUCCCCGACUCCUUGUGAAGGGAAACGGCCACCCGGGGACCUGCUGCGACCGCUACGAGUGUGUGAAAGAAGGAGAUUAAUUAGCAUGUGUAAUAUAAUACACACUUUUAUCUUAUUAUCCUUGUGAAACUAACCGUAACCUCACUAACCGUAACCUUAACCUCAGUAACCAAAAGGAAACAUUUCGGCUCUGGUAGAUUUAUUUUUCAUUUCAGGCAAACACCUUGCUGUUUCAUGUAAUGCUCAGAAUGCUUGAUGUGCAAAAAAAUCUGGAAUGUACUCAACAAUAAAAGAAAUAUUUACAGGAAGAAA